rnacentral:rRNA from 1 species
CGGCAGCCCGAGUGGUGAUCACUAUUAUUGGGUCUAAAGGGUCCGUAGCCGGUUUGAUCAGUCUUUUGGGAAAUCUGACAGCUUAACUGUUAGGCUUCCAAAGGAUACUGUCAGACUUGGGACCGGGAGAGGUAAGAGGUACUACAGGGGUAGGAGUGAAAUCUUGUAAUCCCUGUGGGACCACCAGUGGCGAAGGCGUCUUACCAGAACGGGUCCGACGGUGAGGGACGAAAGCUGGGGGCACGAACCGGAUUAGAUACCCGGGUAGUCCCAGCCGUAAACGAUGCUCGCUAGGUGUCAGGAAUGGUGCGACCGUUUCUGGUGCCGUAGGGAAGCCGUGAAGCGAGCCACCUGGGAAGUACGGCCGCAAGGCUGAAACUUAAAGGAAUUGGCGGG